GACGAACGCUGGCGGCGUGCUUAACACAUGCAAGUCGAACGGGCCUUGUCCCCUUUUUUUUUGGGGGUGGGGUUAGUGGCGAACGGGUGAGUAACACGUGAGUAACCUGCCCCUCACUUCUGGAUAACCGCUUGAAAGGGUGGCUAAUACGGGGUGUUCUGGCCUGCUCGCAUGGGUGGGUUUGGAAAGAUUCGACCGGUUUUGGUUGUUUUGGUGGGGGAUGGGCUCGCGGCCUAUCAGCUUGUUGGUGGGGUGAUGGCCUGCCAAGGCUUUGACGGGUAGCCGGCCUGAGAGGGUGGGCGGUCACACUGGGACUGAGACACGGCCCAGACUCCUACGGGAGGCAGCAGUGGGGAAUAUUGCACAAUGGGCGCAAGCCUGAUGCAGCGACGCCGCGUGAGGGAUUGAGGCCUUCGGGUUGUGAACCUCUUUCGCCAGUGAAGAAGGUCCUGCUCUUUGUGGUGGGGUUGACGGUAGCGGGGUUAAUGAAGCGCCGGCUAACUACGUG
rnacentral:rRNA from 1 species